GCAGAAGGUAGAUAAUGUUUUAAAGACAAUGGGCUAUCAGGGAUGAGGGAGGAAAGUCCAAACCAAAACAACAUAAAUGAGCCUUAUUUAUCACGUAUUAUGUUUCUGAACACAGACCGUGGAAACAGGUGACAGACCGCUAGUAAAGCUCUUGUAAUGGAAGUUACUUCACCUAACAUGUUGAUGCUAAUCCCCUGCCUGGACUGGAACACACCUUAAGAAUGAAUGACAACUCCUUCCUCAAAAACCUGCCUGCAUAUUGACUGGCACUUUGAAAGGCUCUGAGCAGCUCCCAUGUUUGACGCUACAAAGAGAAUGAGCUGAGAGUCUCCUCUCCUGCACCAGUGAAGGAAGAGCAAGCUGCAGGUGCCUGGGCCAGAGACCAAGCUUUGCCAUCAGCUUUACAGAAAAGGCUCAAGCUAACAAGUACUGGCUGCAUUGUGGCAUUCAAACCACAGGCUGCCUUGAGGAGGAGGAAGUUUGCAUCAGUAGGAGUCCCCAGAGGCACCCUUUGUGACUCAUUCUCAAUUCCUCUGAGGGUGCUGGGCAAGAGUGUGAUGAAAUCUGGGCUUUAGGGGGAGGAAGACCGUGCAAGGCUAGUUAACAUGGUGUAGCAGAGAAAUGGGACAGGUUAAAGGGAAUUUGACACUACUAGAGCACUUAUGAUUUAUGGGGACACAAACUGGCUGCAGCUCCUGACCAAGGGCACAGGGUCAUUUAUUCCAUUCUAAUACUGAUACCUAAAACAGGGAAGAUGAAUCAUCCACUGGAGGCAUCUAGUUCACUCCACUGACUAAUAGAAGCAUAAAAACAGCCAAGAGAAGUCACUGAAUAUUUAGACAGCACAAGUUAGUGGUGUCAAAUUCCACAAUAAGUAGCUUACAGCUGACAAAUAUGUGUCACAGAGGCACGGGCUAUGCAUGGAUCAGCAGUCAUACUCAUACUUCCCAGACAUGUUUAUAUGGCAUUCAGCUUGCUGGCCUGAUCACCAGAAGCUAUCAAGGUAUUCAAACGGAUUGCUCCUAAGCAUUAUACCAAAAGAAGAGAAGAAAUCUAAUAAAGUGUUCAUCUCUGGUUCUCA